ensembl:lncRNA FLJ40194 uncharacterized FLJ40194
GGAGUUAGGUGAAGAGGAGAACGAUGUCCAGGCAGGGGCCGGGGAAGCUCGUGCCAAGGCACUGAGGGGAAGUGCUGCAAUGAACCUCAGAGGCUGGAUCUUGCUGACUCAUCUGGGGUACCAAGGACAGACAAAGGACAUGGAGUCCAGGCCCAGGAGGCGAUACCAGGCCAGCAGUUUCACUGAUGCUCCUGUCAUGACGAUGACUGCCUCCCUCCUCCCCUUGGUCCCUGACUCAGUGUCUGCAGUGACCAGGCACCAGGCAGGGAGCAAGGAACCAAGCCUUUCACCUGCUCCCACCAACUCCUAUGGUGCUCCCUUUCCAAGGCUAGGUCUCCUCUCCACCCAGUUCCUUAUCACGUACCAUGAGAAGCUGUCACCUUGGCAACUGUCACCUUCUGGUGAGAUUUACAAUUGCACUGCUACAACUGCUUGUGGCAUGGUAAAGUUGCACCAGGACCUCUGCUGUCCAUGAGAUCAAAGUUCCAGGCCAAGGCACCAGGGGCACGAACAGUGUUGCCCGCAUGGAACUCACACUUAAUGGGAGCGGCAGCCAACAGUUUCCGCUGGUCAAGAAUCUGAGGCUGUGUGUCUGGCUCAGGGGCUCUCAGGAGACAGUCAUCAAGCUACUGGCUUAGAAGCACCUCAAAACUCUGCUGUGGCUGGAGGGAACCAUUUCCAGGCUCACUCAUGUGACUGUCGGCAGGCCUCAGAAGACCCACUGCAAGCCCACUCACUGGGUGCUGGCAGGCUUGCGAUCCAUGGCACGACUUCCGUAGGCUGCCUAAGUAACCUCGUGACAUGGCGGCUGGUGAAUGGAGAGCAAGAGACCACACCAAGUCUGUUUGUAUAAUAACUUAAUCUUGGAAGUGACAUCUCAUCAUUUCUGCCA